UACGGAGGCUGCAAGCGUUCUCCGGAAUGAUUGGGCGUAAAGCGUCCGCAGGUGGCUGUGUAAGUCUGCUGUCAAAGAGCGAAGCUCAACUUCGUAAAGGCAGUGGAAACUACACGGCUAGAGUGCGUUCGGGGCAGAGGGAAUUCCUGGUGUAGCGGUGAAAUGCGUAGAGAUCAGGAAGAACACCGGUGGCGAAGGCGCUCUGCUAGGCCGCAACUGACACUGAGGGACGAAAGCUAGGGGAGCGAAUGGG
rnacentral:rRNA from 1 species